rnacentral:lncRNA from 1 species
AGUCAACUGGGGAGCUCAGUGAGAUUCUCCUGCUAUACUCUCAUCAGUUUUAAUUUGCCUAGGCCAUUCGGAUUUGGAAGAUUUCUGAGCAAGAUGGCUGAGUGCUGAAUUUAACAGCCAAGAUGAUUCUCCAAUCUCUGUGCUUAUGUCUGCACACAUCAGAGACUCUCCUUUACCUAGCCCUGUUUAUUCCUGAACACAAAGUAAUUAAUACUUCAAAGUGUUAGGUAGCCGGGUAUCCAUCGCUUGCCUUCACUCCUCUGUAAGCAUCAGGGACCACAAAACACAGGUUUUAUUUAUUGCUGUAGGUUCCACAACAUGUGGCAGAGGGUGUGCUCACAACAGGAGCUGGUGAACCACCUAACACUGUGAGUGUAGACAUUGGCACAGGUGUGGAUGAUAAACUCAGGUAAGGGUACAAAUACAGUCUUAAGGCAAUGUACAUUUGAGCCUUUGUUUUUAGAGGGACUGCUUGAUAGACUUUCCAGCAGACCUAUACAAACCCUAGCAGCUAAGGUGCAAGGAUGCAGCUCCCUAUGCCCUGGGUGUGGUGUCUGUAGUCAUACUUCACCAGGCAGCCCCUCUCCUCCCCUUCCCUGGUGCCUCUUUGGCUGCUCUGUCUCUCUUCCCUGGCUUUGAACUUGUUGGCAGCCUCCAAUAACCCCUCUUCAAAGAGCUGAA